UCCUGGCUCAGAGUGAACGCUGGCGGCGUGCUUAACACAUGCAAGUCGAACGGAUUAAAAGAGCUUGCUUUUUGAUUAGUGGCGCACGGGUGAGUAAUAUAUAGCUAACCUGCCCUUUAGUGGGGACAACAGUUGGAAACGACUGCUAAUACCCUAUACUCCUUCUUACUAUAAGGUAAGUCGGGAAAGAUUUAUCGCUAAAGGAUGGGGCUUUAUUGUAUCAGCUAGUUGGUGAGGUAAUGGCUCACCAAGGCUAUGACGCAUACCUGGUCUGAGAGGAUGAUCAGGCACACUGGAACUGAGACACGGUCCAGACUCCUACGGGAGGCAGCAGUAGGGAAUAUUGGACAAUGGGGGGAACCCUGAUCCAGCCAUGCCGCGUGAGGGAAGAAGGUCCUCUGGAUUGUAAACCUCUUUUGGCAGGAAACAAACCUGCGCUAUACGCGCAGCUGAGGGUACCUGCAGAAUAAGCACCGGCUAACUCCGUG
rnacentral:rRNA from 1 species